UAAGAGGUCCCGCCUGCCCUGUGACUAUAAGUUUAACGGCCGCGGUAUUUUGACCGUGCGAAGGUAGCGCAAUCACUUGUCUUUUAAAUGAAGACCUGUAUGAAUGGCACCACGAGGGCUUAGCUGUCUCCUUUUUCAAGUCAAUGAAAUUGAUCUCCCCGUGCAGAAGCGGGGAUAAAUACAUAAGACGAGAAGACCCUAUGGAGCUUUAGACGCCAAGACAGAUCAUGUUAAACACCCCUAAAUAAAGGGCUAAACCAAAUGAAUCCUGCCCUAAUGUCUUUGGUUGGGGCGACCGCGGGGAAACACAAAACCCCCACGUGGAAUGGGAGCACCUCCUCCUACAGCUAAGAGCUCCCGCUCUAGCAAACAGAAAUUCUGACCAACAAGAUCCGGCAAUGCCGAUCAACGGACCGAGUUACCCUAGGGAUAACAGCGCAAUCCCCUUUUAGAGCCCAUAUCGACAAGGGGGUUUACGACCUCGAUGUUGGAUCAGGACAUCCUAAUGGUGCAGCCGCUAUUAAGGGUUCGUUUGUUCAACG
rnacentral:rRNA from 1 species